AACUUUCGAAGUUUUUAUUUCUUUUCAUCUUUGCCUCGGGUUUUCAGGAGUUACAACUUCUCAAUUAUGUCAUCCAAAUGCAUUGGUAAGGUUUUCAUUUUCAUCUCAUUUUUUCAUAUUAUCAUACAUUUUUCAGUUUUUUAUGUCAUUUUUCAUAUUGCCAUACUUUUGUUUUUCACAAUUGUUAAAACUAAAAUUUCAAUUUACUUAAUUAAAACAAACCAGAAUGAAGCUAACUUGCUCUGCUUUAUAAAUUGCUAGUCAUUUAGAAGGUGCUUUACCUUCUUCGAGAAACUGAAAACUUGUAGUUCCACAUUGUAAAUGUUAAAAGCAUAGUUUAUGAACAUAAAAUGGAAAUUUGUUCUAUAGUUAGUGGUAGUCUUCUUAUUAUUUCUCUCAUAUCCAUUCCCCUGUUGUGUCUGUGUUCUUUCGUAGGUAUAGAAUAUAUUGUCUAAGAAGGAAAUUCUCCAUAUUAAUUGAUUUGGAGGAAAAUUGAAUGGCAACUGGAGAGAUUUCAAUACAGUAGCAAAAAGAUCCUGCUUUGGAGUUGAUAAAAUAUCCAUAAACAGCCCAAAUUAAUAGGAUCAUACUCAAAAUAUAUAUGUAAUUAGCUCAUAAAAGUAUGUCAUUUUAGAGUAUUAUCAAUAGGGGUUAGUGGUAGGUGCCCAAAUUUAGAUAUUAAGAUUCAUACUUAAAUUAUUCAGCCUAAUUGUUUAGUUUCUAACAUCGGCGCUAAUAUGUUAUCAACUCAUGAUUACAUGAUUUCAUGUUAAUUAGAAAGAUUGGUUUCUCUUAUAACCUUUGCUUUUAUGUUGAUUUAGGAGUAGGUGUUUCCUAUUUGUUGUGAGAUUCGACACUCAACAGAACUUGCAGAUUAUGGAUGGUUCUGAUAUCCUCUUUCUCACCAACAAAACAAGUUCCCAUGAAAUUCCUGGUAUUAAAGUCACGUUUGUGACCAAUGCAAAAUAUUUUUAGCCAAUAAUGAGUUGGAGCUUUAGCCAUAUAAGGAGGAACACCCAAGCUGUAAGAGCUUCGAUUUCUUUUACUUGAUGCUUAUUUUAUUUAUGUGUUUGAACUGAUAUUUUGAGACAAUGCAAGUUGUCAACAGAUUUGCCUUAUUGGUCUAUUCAUAUGAUGGUUCAACGCAAAAUUGAAGGAAUCUUUUGAAUACCUUUUCUGGGCUCUGGCAAUUCAGUCUUGGUGGAGAAGUAAGUUACCUUUGACUUAUUAUUAUGAUUUUAGGUUCAUCUAAUGCUUAUUUUUUCUAGAUUUAUCAAAGAAAUUCCGAGAGUUGCUCGUAUCUCAAAUCUUGUGGUAUGAACACAUGGAGCUGGAGGCAAGCGUUUGACGGUUAUCAUUCUCAAGUUGGAUUGGUGAGCUUAUGUUCAUCCCAUUGUGGAACCCAAGAAGAUACUGGAAAAAUGUUAAAUGAUUUGAGUUCAUUUUGAAGUGAAGAGCUGGUUCCAUGGUAGAGCCAUUGGAAUUGAUAUUUUCUUAUCUUGGAUUUUGAUCAUCAGAUCAGUUGGGGAUGAAGUCUCUUUGUAUGUUAUUGCCUUUCAAGUUGUUUAAGCAGCAUUGUGGUGAGGUGAUAUUAAGAUUCAUGCUUUUUUCUUUUCGGCAGUUGACUCCAUAGGAUCAGUGGAGGACUCCAUUCAGCUUCAUUGAAAAGUAGAGAUUUAAUCAUCUGGUAUCUCAAUAUACUCAUUGCAUUUUCCUUCAAUGAUAUCUUGAUUCGUUGAUUUAUGAUUCAUGUCUAUUUAUACUGGAAUUGCAGUCGCAGAUUAAGGGUGGGUUUGAUAUGAUAUCUUCGGUCUCACCAAAAAAACAAGUUCCACUAAAUUUCUAGUGUUAAUGUAAGGUUGUGCCCUAUGCCUAAUCUUUUUUAUCUCACUUCAUAGAUGUGCUUUUUACUUGCAGAGUUUAAAACAAUGUAGUAUAAGUCAGUCAAAACCUAGAGAUUAAGCUUUGACUUUUUAAAUAUGCUACUGUGAAGGGAAUGAAGAUGUCAGUGAUUGGUUUAAGAAAAGCAGAUGAGGAAACAGAGUCAAGACGACAUUAAUGGCAGAUGAGUAAGCUUCUAAUUUCUUCUAUUGAGUUAUUGCCAUAUAUUUGUGGUUGAACCGAGACGUCGAGGCUGUAUUGCAAUUUGUUAACAGAUUUUCCUAGUUGAUAUCAUUCAACUU
rnacentral:lncRNA from 1 species